rnacentral:rRNA from 1 species
UACGAAGGGGGCGAGCGUUGUUCGGAUUCACUGGGCGUAAAGGGUGCGUAGGUGGCCAGGUAAGUUCGGUGUGAAAGCUCGGAGCUUAACUCCGAAAUGGCAUUGAAUACUAUCUGGCUAGAGGGUCGGAGGGGAGACUGGAAUUCUCGGUGUAGCAGUGAAAUGCGUAGAUAUCGAGAGGAACACCAGUGGCGAAGGCGAGUCUCUGGACGACUCCUGACACUGAGGCACGAAAGCCAGGGGAGCAAACAGG